AUUGAACGCUGGCGGCAUGCCUUACACAUGCAAGUCGAACGGCAGCACGGGUGCUUGCACCUGGUGGCGAGUGGCGAACGGGUGAGUAAUACAUCGGAACAUGUCCUGUAGUGGGGGAUAGCCCGGCGAAAGCCGGAUUAAUACCGCAUACGAUCUACGGCUGAAAGCGGGGGACCUUCGGGCCUCGCGCUAUAGGGUUGGCCGAUGGCUGAUUAGCUAGUUGGUGGGGUAAAGGCCUACCAAGGCGACGAUCAGUAGCUGGUCUGAGAGGACGACCAGCCACACUGGGACUGAGACACGGCCCAGACUCCUACGGGAGGCAGCAGUGGGGAAUUUUGGACAAAGGGCGAAAGCCUGAUCCAGCAAUGCCGCGUGUGUGAAGAAGGCCUUCGGGUUGUAAAGCACUUUUGUCCGGAAAGAAAUCCUUGGCCCUAAUACGGUCGGGGGAUGACGGUACCGGAAGAAUAAGCACCGGCUAACUACGUG
rnacentral:rRNA from 1 species